GUUUGAAGAGCAGAUACCAACGGUGAGCUGUGCGCUUGGUGAUCCAGGCUCCUGUGAGUCACCGCAUGCGUUCCCAUCCCACAACAAAACGCCAGCCGUGAGGUAGCACUUAGUAAAGCUGACUCACUUCCUCAUUUGCAGAUGAAAGGGAUUGUCCCAGAAAUGACAGUCUCACAGGUAAGUCAUGGCUCCUUCAGGUCAUAGCUGGUGAGUCUUUUAAAACACGCCUGACUGUAACUCCCUCUUGGCAGUGACGAGGUCUGGGGCAAAGCGAGUUUCUUCUUCGCAAAACAGUGUCACACCUUCAAAGCCAGGUCCACCUUUAUCCUUAACCGUGGCCGCAUCGCUGAUUUCCGUGGCUCUUCAGGAGAAAGAACGCUUGCACAAUCAGACGUCGGGAUGAUUGAAAAAGUCCCAGUAAUUGAGUGCGAGUCAAUGUCCACUUUCCUUUUUCUUGUCCACCAGGCACGUUUUGCUGGUGAGGCUGCGACUCUUGCCCUGGACACCUGAGUGGAACGUCAUGGGCGAGGGGUGGAUACCCCUCCGUAUGGACGGAUGGCCCGGUUCCGUGGGGCGGUGGGACUUCCAGCCAAGUCACGUCGGCUUGAACUGACUGGUGGGGGUCGGGGGAGAGGCUGCCGUCAUGGGAAACCUGGCAACUGCCUCUCCCCGAUGGUCCGGAAUCUCCUGGGCUUUGCAAUCAGGCCGCCUUUACAAACGCAUUUCUCAAAGCCAGGUUGGAAGAUAUAUAUUUUUUAAAAUGCAAAUUAAAUACAAAAUUAAAUACCAAUUUGGUUUUCUUAAACACAAAAGUUGUCGGGAGAAAAACUGAGAUCAGGACACUCCUGUGCACACCACUGAAAGUUGUAACUCGUUUCUUUUUAGACUAGAUUUUAAGAGCAAUUUUAAAAAUUGAAGUAUAGUUGAUUCAGAGUGUUUUAGGUGUACAGCAAGGUCAUUCAGUUAGACCUUCCCGUGUUUUCCGCUUCUUUUCCAUUAGAGGCUGUUACGAGACAUCACGUGUUCUUCCCCGUGUGGUCCAGCAGGUCCUUGUUGCUUUAUCUACUUUAUCCGUAGUCGUACUGGGGGCUUACCUGUUACAGAAGCGGAAGUAGGCUCCUCAGACGGGGAUCCCAGGCCUUCCACUCGUCUAGAGCGUGUGCAUUGCCCUCUGUUGCCUCUUUCCCUACUUGGUAGCCCUCGGAGUUCUCAUGUAACUUCCACAGCUGUGCCAUCGCUUCUUUUUGUCGUUGGGAAAUCACGGAUUAUGAAACGUUAAACUGAGUACAUUUAAAAAUAACCUAGGCUUUUCUGCUGUUGGGGUAAAGCCACUGGCUUGUUUGGGGUUGCUAAUGGGAAUAAACGACCAUGUGUGAUUCCUUCUAGAGCCAGCUUGUUUGCCCGGAGGAAAGAAUUCACUGAACAGCCACAGACUGCAUUCCAGAACGUUAGCCAACCACUUUGCAAAAGUGUCCCGUUGGGUCAGGGCACGGCCUGCCGCCACUCCUGGCAAAGAGACUCCAAAUGCCUGCCCGUGGGACAGAGGUCUCAUUGCAGGAUGUCAGUUCAGGCGCUCAUGGGAAGACGUCACUGGAGCACAAGGCGAUGACGGUGUUGCUAAGACGUCUGAGAGAAAAUGGCAAAGCAGAGCCCAGAGAGGUUGGUGCAGGCUCCCCGGGUCCCUCGGAAGUGGGGCUGGGCCUCAGAGGAUGUGCGUGAGCUGCCGGCCGAGGUGUGUGUCCCCCCUGGCUUAUCCGCCGAAGGGGCUGAACGGAGGGGGAGCGAGGGCCUCGUCCUGGUGCCUGGAAGCCCAGCGCGGCCAGACUUGGGGAUGGAGCCUCCAAGGAGGUGGCGGAGGUUGAAUGAGGUCAUGGGAGGGAUCCCGCAUCUGAUAGGGUUGAGGCCUCACAAGGAGAGAACCCCAUUCUCUCUCUGCUGUCUCCAUCUCUCUUCCCCAUGAGGACACAGUGAGAAGCCAGCCGUCCACAGACCAGGAAAGACCUCUCACCGGAACUUGCCCGUGCCAGCUCCCUGAUCUUGAUGCCCAGCCUCCAGAACUAUGAGAAAUAAAAUCCUGCUGUUUGGGAGUUCCCGUUGUGGCUCAGGGGUCAUGAACCCAACUAGUAUCCAUGAGGAAGCAGGUUCCAUCCCUGGCCUUGCUUGGUGGGUUAAGGAUCCAGUGUGGCCGUGAGCUGCAGUGCAAGGUGCAAACGCGGCUUGGAGCCCGUGUUACUGUGGCUGCGGUGUGGGCUGGCAGCUGCAGCUCUGAUUCAACCCCUAGCCUGGGAACUUCCACAUGCCGGGGGUGGCACCCUAAAAAGCAAAAUCAAAUCAAAUCAAAUCAAAUCAAAAUAAAGUCCUGCUGUUCAA
rnacentral:lncRNA from 1 species